GGGUAAUGGCGUGCCUUUUGUAGAAUGAACCGGCGAGUUGCGUUAGUCAGCAAGGUUAAGUCAGAAAAGACGGAGCCGUAGCGAAAGCGAGUCUGAAGAGGGCGAGCAGUUGGCUGACGCAGACCCGAAACCAAGUGACCUACCCAUGACCAGGUUGAAGGCGCGGUAAAACGCGCUGGAGGACCGAACCCACGUAAGUUGAAAAUUGCGGGGAUGAGUUGUGGGUAGCGGUGAAAUUCCAAACGAACUUGGAGAUAGCUGGUUCUCUCCGAAAUAGCUUUAGGGCUAGCCUCGCAAAGAGGAUGCUGGAGGUAGAGCUCUGUUUGGACUAGGGGCCCGUCAAGGGUUACUGAAUUCAGAUAAACUGCGAAUUCCAGACAUUUAUGUGCGGGAGUCAGACUGCGAGUGAUAAGAUCCGUAGUCGAAAGGGAAACAGCCCAGAUCACCAGUUAAGGUCCCAAAAUUCAUGCUAAGUGGAAAAGGAUGUGGAGUUGCGCAGACAACUAGGACGUUGGCUCAGAAGCAGCCAUCAUUCAAAGAGUGCGUAAUAGCUCACUAGUCGAGUGACGCCGCGCCGAAAAUUUACCGGGGCUAAGCAUGAUACCGAAACUGUGGAUGUGC
rnacentral:rRNA from 1 species